rnacentral:rRNA from 1 species
GAUGAACGCUGGCGGCGUGCCUAAUACAUGCAAGUCGAGCGAAUGGAUUAAGAGCUUGCUCUUAUGAAGUUAGCGGCGGACGGGUGAGUAACACGUGGGUAACCUGCCCAUAAGACUGGGAUAACUCCGGGAAACCGGGGCUAAUACCGGAUAACAUUUUGAACCGCAUGGUUCGAAAUUGAAAGGCGGCUUCGGCUGUAACUUAUGGAUGGACCCGCGUCGCAUUAGCUAGUUGGUGAGGUAACGGCUCACCAAGGCAACGGUGCGUAGCCGACCUGAGAGUGUGAUCGUCCACACUGGGACUGAGACACGGCCCAGACUCCUACGGGAGGCAGCAGUAGGGAAUCUUCCGCAAUGGACGAAAGUCUGACGGAGCAACGCCGCGUGAGUGAUGAAGGCUUUCGGGUCGUAAAACUCUGUUGUUAGGGAAGAACAAGUGCUAGUUGAAUAAGCUGGCACCUUGACGGUACCUAACCAGAAAGCCACGGCUAACUACGUGCCAGCAGCCGCCGUAA